CCCCUCUCGGGGUCGCACCUGGAGAGUUUCCAGUACUCUACCAGUCUUGACUACGGGAGGGAGAGUCAAGCAGAGGCCUAUCCAUUCCAUUCCUAGCUUGGACACAGUGGCUAGGGAGUGGGAUGCAAUCUGCUACAAGU
rnacentral:snoRNA from 1 species